rfam:Otolemur garnettii contig065559, whole genome shotgun sequence.
GUGCCUGUGGCUCAAAGGGUUAGAGCACUGGCCCUAUAUGCCAGGGGUGGCAGGUUCAAACCCAGCCCUGGCCA